rnacentral:rRNA from 1 species
GAGUUUGAUUCUGGCUCAGGACGAACGCUGGCGGCGUGCCUAAUACAUGCAAGUAGAACGCUGAAGGAAUAGCUUGCUAUUCUGGAAGAGUUGCGAACGGGUGAGUAACGCGUAGGUAACCUACCUCAUAGCGGGGGAUAACUAUUGGAAACGAUAGCUAAUACCGCAUAAGAAUACUUAUUGCAUGAUAAGUAUUUAAAAGGAACAACUGUUUCACUGUGAGAUGGACCUGCGUUGUAUUAGCUAGUUGGUAAGGUAACGGCUUACCAAGGCGACGAUACAUAGCCGACCUGAGAGGGUGAUCGGCCACACUGGGACUGAGACACGGCCCAGACUCCUACGGGAGGCAGCAGUAGGGAAUCUUCGGCAAUGGGGGCAACCCUGACCGAGCAACGCCGCGUGAGUGAAGAAGGUUUUCGGAUCGUAAAGCUCUGUUGUCAGCCAAGAAUGUAUGUGAGAGUGGAAAGUCACAUAGGACG